GGAGUAGUGCGACAGUGGUUACUCGGUUCGACUCGAAUGUGUUAUGUUCUUAUCGAAUGCCGUAAGGCGCGCAGGUUCAAAUCCUGCCUGCUCCU